rnacentral:tRNA from 1 species
UAGAAAGAAACUUGCCGGAUGGAGUAUUUAGCCGUUAACUAAAAUUUUACGGGAUCGAGGCCCGUCUUUCUAG